CCAAUAGCGUAUAUUAAAGUUGCUGCAGUUAAAAAGCUCGUAGUUGAAUUUCGGGACCAAUAUGUCGGUCGUGCUUCGGUACGUACUGUCAUAAUUGGUUUCUCCCUUCUGAAGAACCUUGAUGUCAUUAAUUUGGUGUCUUGGGGAAUCAGGACUGUUACUUUGAAAAAAUUAGAGUGUUUAAAGCAGGCUCGCGCUUGAAUACAUUAGCAUGGAAUAAUGAAAUAGGACGUUUGAUUCUAUUUUGUUGGUUUCUAGGAUCGACGUAAUGAUUAAUAGGGAUAGUUGGGGGCAUUAGUA
rnacentral:rRNA from 1 species